rnacentral:ribozyme from 13 species
UUUUUUUUUUUUUUUUUUUUUUUUUUUUUUUUUUUUUUUUUGG